GGUACACCCAAUCCAGUUAUAACAUCAGACACCAUUCAGGAGGCCUGGGGUAAGCAGUCCUUGCUCCCCAAGGGGUAGAGAGCAGAUCUCCAUUGGAGCCCACAGCAGCCCAGCUCAGUUACUAUAAACCCGCAGGCAGCACCUCACAGAGCAAGAAUGGAUUUCCUGUCUGUUCCUCCAAUCCUCCUGGAGCCCCACGGAGCUCAGCCACCACCUCGAGGCUCCAGAUAGGCAUC